CACACCACUUUCUAUUAAUUGGCUUUAUAUUCAGUAGUGAAGUAAUAAAAACAGUGUCAGACUCUGUUAGGCUUACUUUAGGUUAUAAUAGGGGGUUUCACAGGGAUAAAUGCAGUAUUUCUUUGCUGAGUUUUCCAAACAUAAGGAAGAGACCUUGGAAGAAGGUAACCUGUCGCUAAUAAAGUAUGUUAUCAUA